ensembl:rRNA 5S_rRNA 5S ribosomal RNA
AUCUAUGGCUGUACCACCCUGAACGUGCCCAAUCUCAUCUGAUCUCGGAAGCUAAGCAGGGUGGGCCUGGUUAGUACUUGGAUGGGAGAUUAACUUUAAUGUUUGCACAAUCUGUC